rnacentral:rRNA from 1 species
UUUAAUACACCCGUGAACGUUUCUUCAACUGUUCGUUGCUUCGGCGGGCGGCCCCGGGGAGGGGCCGCAGCCCGCAAGGGCGCCCGCCGGCGGCAGCGCAGCACAACUCUCGCGAUUUAGGCCCCUCUGAGAAGACACUAAAUGAGUCAAAACUUUCAACAACGGAUCUCUUGGUUCUGGCAUCGAUGAAGAACGCAGCGAAAUGCGAUAAGUAAUGUGAAUUGCAGAACUCAGCGAAUCAUCGAAUCUUUGAACGCACAUUGCGCCCGCCGGCAUUCCGGCGGGCAUGCCUGUCCGAGCGUCAUUUCAACCCUCGAGCCCUGCUCGGUGUUGGGGCCCCGCGGCCGCCGCGGGCCCUGAAAAGAAGUGGCGGGCGCGCCUGGACCCGUAGCGCAGUAAUACACCUCGCUCGCGGCGUCCCGGCGCGUGCCGGCCGUAAAACCCCUUUAUCUCAAGGUUGACCUCGGAUCAGGUAGGAAUACCCGCUGAACUUAAGCAUAUCAAUAAGCGGAGGAA